AUUAAGCGAUGCCUCGGACAUCUGCACGUUCAAGAAAUAAAUAAAUCUCUACUCGAUAUAACCAAAAUUUCGAGCAUACUGAAGUCAGAUUAACGCUGUAGAAGACAAGGAAGAUAAUACUGAUAUGUACAAAGGAUAUUUUGUUAUCACGACGAAAAAUUUCCGAUCGCACUGACGAUAUCGUAGAUAAUCUAUUGAAGUUUGAAACUACAAUUUAUUAUGUACCAUUGCAGAAAACAAAGUGAGAGAUAAGCAAAGGGUGCAGUGCUUACUGGCGAAGUGCAACAUCAGGCGAAUAACGACGCAUCGGCGAGGCCUGGUUGGAAAAAUUCUGUAUUUUACGUAAAAAAAUAUUCUCGUCGAUUAUUUAUGUCGCGCGACAAUUGAAUUUAUUGUUUGUGUUUACGCCAUUAAACCGUGUUUGUGCUCGAAUCGGUGACGACGUCUGGUUAGAAGACCGUGUAAUCUUACUGUCGCCAAAUGCCAAACAAAAGCGGUCGAGCAAAUAAAUAAACUCAAUGAGAGAUUAUUCCACGCGAUAAGGCGAUUGUUGUGGACACGCAUUUUUGUGGAUAUGCGUCGUCGCAUGUCCGGAGUCCGCAGAUCAAUUUCGAUCGCGAUCGCCGUUAUUUCGCAAUUGCUCGCCGCGCAUUCUUCCACGAAUUAAUUUACGAUUCGAGUUUGAGUGACGCCGAUAAACUUCCGAGUUCUUUAUUGAUUCAUUCGGAUAUAAAUUAACAACGUACGUUACGAGGUGUCUCGUUCUCGCAGAACGUAAUAAUAUAACGUAAUUCGAACUUGGAUCUAAAUUUCUUCUACCUUGACGUAAUUACGAUUUGAGAUUAGCCCAGUCGAAGUUGCAAUUAAUAACAAAACGUUGGAACAUAUACAAUAUCAUUUCUUCGAUGAAAAUAACCGUGAAAUAUUGCAAUUAUAAAAAGCAGUAUCUUGAUAUUUUAACAUCCGAGUUUUAAUUGUUAUCAAUAAUUCUUUGCAUAUGUCACAACAGGAACUGCGACGGAUGAUUACUCGUCUUUAUUUAUCAUCUGGUAAAAAUCGUGGAAAUGAACAAAUAGAUCGGAUAUCGGAUCGUGAUAAGGCGUCGCAACGGGAAGAUAUACGGUAAUAUUACUUGGAAAUUUUUUCCGAUAGCAUUUUAUUUCACAU